rnacentral:rRNA from 4 species
AACGACUCUCGGCAACGGAUAUCUCGGCUCUCGCAUCGAUGAAGAACGUAGCGAAAUGCGAUACUUGGUGUGAAUUGCAGAAUCCCGUGAACCAUCGAGUCUUUGAACGCAAGUUGCGCCCCAAGCCUUCGGGCCGAGGGCACGUCUGCCUGGGUGUCACAA